UCAAACUUUCAAGUAAUUUGUGAACACACAAUUUCUUGAUUUCUUAUGGUUAUAUUUAUCUCCCUCUUACUAAUGCUGAAUUGAAACAUGUACCCGUUUUCUGCAGUGUGUGUCUUGGAACAACAAAGUUCUGUUAGUAUCAAGCAUACAGGUUUAUUUUGUAGAACUUCAUUUUUAUUUCAGUUAUUCUGUGUUUUAGUGUCCAGUUUUUUUUUUCGUUCCAUGGUUGUUACAUGUGAUAGAUAUUGAUGUCAGAGUAGGGUUGCUGGUUUUAGCUGAAUAGUUCAGCUCAAUAUUGUUUUCUUACAUUAAUUAUUUCUGUAUGACAUGUACUCUUUCUGAAUUUACACGAUGCUGAUCAGAGGCUUGGUUUGGAGAAUUAUGCUAAUCUUUUCUCAUUUUUCUUCGUUUUUUCUACAACUAUUUGCCACACUACCCCAUCAUUCUACUGUUUUCUAAUAUUUAUGUUUUUGACAUUUAAUUUGACAAGUUUACUCAAUUCUGAAGAAAGUGCGACAGCUUUGUGGGGUUUUCUUGUAGCCAUGAUCUAAACGUCUUGAUAAACUGGACAAGAGUAGAGAAUGGUUCCAGAUAGAUUAAUAAAGUUCCUUCAAUGAAUCGUUCUUAUUUCUUUUAAUUUCUGGGAUUCGAUUGCAAGACAUAAAUUGAAUUUUGUACAUGUUUAUCUGCAGUGUGAAAAAUUGAGACAACUUUGUGGGGUUCUCUUUGUAACUAUGAUUUCAGAGAUCAGCGGCUUGGUUUGAAGAAAUCUUUUUUUUUUUUUUUUUUUUUCCUACAACUAUUUGCUGCGGCGUAUUAUUUCUGCACAUGUAUCUUCUGUGGUGUUCGCAGGGUCUGUGGUAUACAUGGGUUUGGUGUGCAACAGAGGCCUCCUUUCUCAAUCACACUACACCUUGUUAAUUUUUCUGUCUAAAGUGGAGAAGUAGGAGAUGAGUGCCUCUUCUGUUCCCUUUGUAACUACGUAUCUUCUGUCAAGCAAUUUACAUGCUUCUCGGUCCAUUCCUACAGGCUUGGGCUUGGUUAGUGCACACUUUCUCAUUCAUCCUUGCGAUAUAAUUUGGUUCUUUUUACAUAUAUCUGUUUCUAUUCCCUGAAUAGUUGUCCUUGAAUUGUGUACAAGUUGUUCAUGUUUUUGUGUUUCUUUCAGUGUUUUUGUUUCCAUAUCCGGAACUUGAGUACUACUCUCGCUUAUCUAUUCGCCCUUCCCAAGAUGAGUGAUUAUGAUCAAUUUGAUUACGUUUUACGUGUUGUUUGUUCUGGUUAUUUGUUUGUGUUGGGGGCGACAUUACUUUGUUCGGGGAGGUUUACACUAUAAUUGUGUUCACUGUAUUGUUGUCUUGACUCUUGAUUAUUUUUCAUUCCCGAUGAUACUUCUCAAAAGAUAUACUCUUCGUUACAGUGGCCCAGGGACUUCUCUGUAUUAGGAGGAAGCUGAAAUUGUCUCUUCAUAUGGGUACACAACGAUCUUGCAAAUUUGAUGAAAUUUGUUUCAAUGAAUCAUCAUAUUCUGCCAGCUGUCGUAUACUCACUGGCAUUCCAAGGCUAUAAUUUGGUCAUUUCUAUUUGAGAAUCUGUUACAUUCAGUCUUUGUUGGAGAAUAAUAAAUUAAUAAUCAACAUCUACUUUUGUCGGCUCCUUUAAGUUUUUUGUGUGGUUGUUACAGGGGAGAUGGCCUAUAAAUGUGUGGCAGGUAGAGAGGUUCACUUUUCGUUCAGCAAUGAAAUAAAACUGGUCAUCCCUCUUACUUUCUGUUCAUCCCUGGGAUAAAACUGGUCAUGCCUCUUAACUUUUCCGUUCAGCCUUGAAUAAAUAAAACUGGUCAUUUUAUACUUACAUGUGUUUUGUGUUGGGAUUUGGGAUAAUGGUCCUAUAAAGGUGUUCCCUGCUAGUUUUGCAUCAGGAAUGUGAGUAUGAAGCUAUGUUGCCAAGGUACGGGUACGGUACCCGAUACAGGUGCGGGUACUGGUACGGGAUACAGCAUUUUGAAAAGAUUUAAGAUACGGUAAGCUGAGGCUUAGACAUCUAGAAUGUUGGGAUGCUUCAUAGAAUGGAUAAGAAAGGAGGGUCAAGUUAAAUCCAAUUACUUCAACAUGGUGUUUUUCAGUUUUGGGCUUUGUGAUCAAGACAUUCACAAAUUGAAUUGCGAAUAUUUUUCUUUUCAGUAUAUCAAUUAUGAGUUCAUAUAUAUUUAAGUAGUUAUUUUCCUCUUUGGUGUUGCAGGAGAGGUAAUCUACAAACACGCAAUCCCUUAUGGUUCUGUCUUCCUCUUUUUGAUCUUCAAGUUUUGUAUUCUCACUUUUGUAUUGUCACUUUUUUCAAAAAAAUAAAAGUUGUGUAUUCUCACUUUUGUAUUCUCACUUUUUUCAGAAUUUCUUGAAUGAACAUUCUUUUUAAAUUUUUAUUUCUUGGCUUUGAUGCAUAAUAAGUGAAUUGAACUUUGAAUGUGUUUUCUGCAGCUUGACUUUCUUCAUAGCAUGGAGCUUCGAGAUUUGGUUUGGAGAUCUUUAGUGAAACAUUUGUUUUAAUAAUUCUUUAUUAAUUCUUAUAUCAUAUAUAUUUCUUGAUCUGGCAUUUACUCUUUGGUUCUGCAUGAGAAGAUGUGAUUUUAAUUGACAAUGUAAUUGACAAAAAUUAUCCACGAUUCUGGACAUAUGAUGUUCACAGGUAAGUGUUACAUGGGUUUGGUGUGCAAUAGAAGCCUCGUUUCUCAAUCACAUCACACCUUGUUAAUUUUGUCUAAAGUGGGGAAAUUGGAGAUAAAGUGCCUUUGCUCCUUCUGGACUUGUUCUUUUCGUUUCAGUCUUUCUUUGUUUAUUCUGAGAGCAAAUUUUUUUUUUUAUUUGCUAUUCAGUGCUGUAGAAAUUUUAUGAUUCUAAAGGUUUUGUUUGUUCUGGUUUCCUCUGUGAUGACAUAAUUUAAUGGUUUGUUGCUCGGGAUCUAUGUUGACAUCCUUCUCUCAGAUCUGUUAUCACAUUUCUCUUGACUCUUAUUUUACGGAUAUCUUUCCAUUAAUUCUUCAUUUGGUAAUCCAGAUAUCCUUUAUCCUUUUUUGCAGCGAGCUGAAAGUCUUUAUAUUUGAACUUCUUAAUACAAUGGACAAAAACUGAGAAUGGCUCCAGAUAGAUAAAUCAAAUUUCUUCCAAUGCGUUGUUCUUAUUGAUUUUAAUAUCUGGGAUUUGAUUUCAAAUAUAAAUUGAAUUUUGAACCUUUUUUCUUUCUUUUUUUUUCUUUUUCUGCAGAGUGAUUUGUCAAACUAAUAAAAUUCUUCGUAGCAUGGAGCCAGCUUUUUAUUUUGGUGAUGUUGAUUAAAUUUCGAUUUCAAACUUUCAAUUCAGAGAGCAUAUAUUUUGUGUACAUAGAUUUCUUGGUUUCUUCUGGUUCUAUUUAUCUUCUCUUGUUUGAUCUUCGUGAGUUUUUUUUAUUCUUUUGUUUCUUAUUUCGUCUUUUGAUUCUAAUGUUUGAUAUGUUUAUGGUUGUUUUCAAUGAUAAAGUUGUUGUUCAUAUUUUAAUUGUCUGAAUAUUGAGCAUACUGGAGUUCUCAUGUGAGUUUUUAAGUUUCCAAUGUUUUCUCAUAAAAUGAUAAUAAUUUGUGGAUUGGUACAUAUUAUCAUCCCGGGUUGAAUUUGAAUUCAAACAGGUAUCUGUUUUCUGCAGUGUGUCUUGGAACAGUAAUGUUGUGUGGUAUCAAGUAUACAGGUUUAUUUUGGCACACUCUUCAUUUCAUGGUGAACUGAUCAAAUCAUAUAGACUCUGAAUCAUUUUCAUUCAUUCUAUAUUUUAGUGUCCAGUCUUCUUGAUCUACUCUUUUAUGAUCUUUAAUUGAGAUUAGUUUAUUUGAUAUGCGAGGAGGGUUGGUGGUUAUAUCUGAAAGGUUUAUCCUUAGGUUUUAUUGCCCUAUCACAUGACUGUUUUCUUACAUUGAAGAUUUUGACAUGAAAUUUGACAGUGUAAAUUUUUUCACAAUUUUUAAAAAAUUGGAACAGCUUUGUGGGGCUCUCUCUCUGUAACUGCGAUCUGCAGAUUAAUGGUUUGGUUUGGAGAAUUAUGCUAAUCUUUUUCGUUAUAUUUUCUACAAUGUGUCACUACCCCAUCAUACUAUUGUUUUCUUACAUUUUGGUUUAUGACAUGUAAUCUGACAGCCAAAGUUAACACAAUUGGGACAGCAUUGUGGGGUUCUUUUCUGUAACUAUGAUCUUUUUAUCAGUGGCUUGGUUUGGAGAAAUAUUUCUUUUUUUUCUUGAUAUUUCUACAAUUAUUUGUCGCUACGUGAUUUUUCUACACAUGUAUCAUCUGGUGUUCACAGGGUAUGUGUUACUAGGGCUUGUUGUGCAACUAAUCUCCUAUCUCAAUAACACUGCACCUGGUUAAUUUUGGUCUAUGAAGUGGAGAAAUAGGAGAUAAGUGCCUCUUCCCUUUGUACUACUAAUCUACUCUCAACCAAUUUACAUGUAUCAACCAGUUAUGUUGCGAAGCUUAAAGGAUAUCCUCUUCAUAACAGUGGCCCAAGGACUCCUCUGCUGGCUGUGUUGUAUACUAUCUACUGGUGCUAGGCUAUAAUUUGGUCAUCUCUACUGAGGCUCUUUACAAUUCAGUCUUUGUUUGAUAAUAAUCAGUAUCUACUUUCAUCAAUUUCUUUGAGUUUUCUGUGUGGGUUUGAUAUGGGAUAUUUGUGGCAGGCAAAGAGCUGAACUAUGGUUAUUAUCAGAGAGAUGAAGAUUGGUUGUUAUUGGAGAAUGCGUUCAGAUAAUCCACAUUUUUUCAAUGAGUCAUUCUUUAUUUUAAAUUUUGUGCUUUUUCUGCAGCUUGGUUUGUGAAAAUAAUAUCAUCUGUCAACACAUGGAGCCUCAAGUUUUGAUUUGCUGUUGCCCAGUAAAUUCGUUUUGUUUCAAUCUUUAUUGAUUUUUUUUUACAAGCAAUCUUUAUUGAUUUUGAAAGCAUAUAUUUCUUGAUUUAUGAUUUACUCUUCGGUGCUGUUGGAAUUUUAUCCUCCUAAAGGUUUCUUUUGGUUUGCUCCGUGAUGUCAGUGUUUGCGGUUCUACUUUCUUUGAUCUGCUUCAAUAAUCUAGAUUGCUAGGGAUUGACAUAGUAACAUGAGUUUUUCCAGAUCUGUUGUCACACUUCGAAUGACUCUUACUUUACGAAUAGAUAAUCUAAUUACUUCUACAUGUUCUUUUCAGUUGGAGGGUCAAGAUAAAUCCAAUUACUUCAACAUGGUGUUCUUUUCAGUUUUGGGCUUUGUGAUUAAAACAUAUACAAAUUGAUUUGCAAAUCUUUUUUCCUUCAGUAUAUCGAUUCUGAGUUCAUAUAUAUUUUGGAGUAGUUAUUUUCCUCUUUGGUGUUGCAGGAGAGGUUAUCUACGAACACGCAAUCCCUUAUGAAUUGCUGUUUUCAAAUUACUGCUACAUGUUCUUUUCAGUUGGAGGGUCAAGAUAAAUCCAAUUACUUCAACAUGGUGUUCUUUUCAGUUUUGGGCUUUGUGAUUAAGACAUAUACAAAUUGAAUUGCGAAUCUUUUUUCCUUCAGUAUAUCGAUUCUGAGUUCAUAUAUAUUUUUGAGUAGUUAUUUUCCUCUUUGGUGUUGCAGGAGAGGUUAUCUACGAACACGUAAUCCCUUAUGGUUCUGUCUUCCUCUUGUUUGAUCUUCAAGUUUUGUAUUCUCAGUUAUGUAUCUUUUUGUUGAGGUUUGAUUUGAUUCUUGCUGGUUUGAUCUUGGAGGUUGUUGUUCUUAUUUUAAUGACCUACUGCUAUUAACGAAUCAAUUUUCUUCAAUGAGUUGUUUUUAUUUUUUGUUGGCUUUGACGCAAUUACACUUCUCGACUCUUCUUUUAAAUCGGUUAUCAAGAAUUAUUUGUUCAAAUUUUGUAUAUAAUUCUUCAUAAUUGUUUAAUCGAGAUACACUUUUUUAUCCAUUUUGCAGUGAGCUGAGAAGUCUUCUAUUCUAGCAACAUAAGAACGGAGGAUGACACCGAUAGAUAAAUCAGUUUUUUCAUUGGGUUCUUCAUUUUUAUUUCUUAGCUCGAGAUAUAUGAAUUGAAGUAUGAACUUGUUUUCUCUGCAGCAUGAUUUGUCAAAUUAAUAAAAUUCUACAUACCAUGGAGCCUAUUAUUUUUGAUUUGGUGAUAUCUAUUAAAUUCUUUUCUGUUUUAAAAUUUCUUCAUCCACUCUGAGAGUAUAAUAUAUGUUGAUUUGUUAUUUACAUGAUUAUCACCCCAGGUUGAAUUGUGAAUUGAAACUGUCUGUUUUCUGCCGUGUAGUUUGUUUUGAAGCUAUAACUUGCUUAUGUAGUAUCUAGAAAUCAGGUUCAUUUUGGCAUAAUCUUCUUGAUUGGGAAUCAUUUUACUCCUUUACACCUUAGGUUUUCUUACAUAUAGGUUUUUGACACUGAAAUCGGACAGAAAUUAUCCACGAUUCUGGACAUAUGAUGUUCACAGGUAAUGAGUUAGGUGUGCAAUAGAAGCCUCGUUUCUCAAUCACAUUGCACCUUGUUAAUUUUUGUCUAUAGUGGGGAAAUUGGAUAUAAGUGCCUUUGCCCCUUCUGGACUUGUUCUUUUCUGUUUAGUCUUUCUUUGUUGUUCUGAGAGCAAAUAUUUAUUUUUGAUUUACUAGUUGGUGUUGUAUGAAUUUUAUGAUUCUAAAGGUUUUGUUUGUUAUGGUUUCCUCCGUGAUGACUUAAUUUAAGGGUUUGCUGUUUCUUUUUUCAUUGAUCUGCUUCUAUAGACUAUAUUGUUCAGGAUCUAUGUUGACAUUCUUUUCUCAGAUCUGUUAUCACAUUUCUAUUGACGCUUAAUUUACGGAUAGGUUUCCAAGAAUUCUUCAUUUGAUUAUCCUUACAUCCUUUAUCCUUUUUUGGUCAUCUCUACUGAGGCUCUUUACAUUUCAGUCUUUGUUUGAUAAUCAGUAUCUACUUUUGUCAAUUUCUUUGAGUUUGUUGUGUGGGUUUGACAUGGAAUAUUUGUGGCAGGCAGAGAGCUGAACUAUGGUUAUUAUCAGAGAAAUGAAGAUUGGUUAUUAUUGGAGAAAGCGUUCAGAUGAUCCACAUUUUUUCAAUGAGUCAUUCUUUGUUUUAAAUUUUGUGCUAUGAGUACAUGACAUAUAAAUUGAACUUGAGCUUGCAUUUUUUUGACCAAUGAAUAUGCUUUUUCUGCAGCUUGGUUUGUCAAAAUAAUAACUUCUGUCAAUGCAUGAAGUCUCAACUUGUGAUUUGUUGUUGCCUACGAGAUAUACUUUCCUCUUUCCAGCUAGCUAAGAGAUCCUGAUACAAUGAACAAGAAUGGAGAAUGGCUCCACAGAUAUAUCAAAUUUUUUAAAUGAGUCGUAUUAUUUAUUUUAAUUUUUUGGAUUUGGUUGCAACACAUACAAAUUGACUUUUAAACAUAUUGUUUUUCUGCAGUGUGGUUUGUCAAACUAAUAACCUUCUUCAUAGCAUGGUGCAUAGCAUUGUGAUUUGGUGAUAUCUAUUAAAUUCUUUUCAUUUUCAAAAUUUCAAGUAGUUUGUGAACAUAUAAUUUCUUGAUUUCUUCAUUUGAUAAUAGAGAGAUCCUUUAUCCUUUUUGCAGCAAGAUAUACUUUCCUCUUUCCAGCUAGCUGAGAGAUCUUGAUACAAUGAACAAGAAUGGAGAAUGGCUCCACAUAGAUAUAUCAAAUUUUUUAAAUGAGUCGUAUUAUUUAUUUUAAUUUUUGGGAUUUGGUUGCAACACAUACAAAUUGACUUUUAAACAUAUUGUUUUUCUGCAGUGUGGUUUGUCAAACUAAUAACCUUCUUCAUAGCAUGGAGCAUAGCAUUGUGAUUUGGUGAUAUCUAUUAAAUUCUUUUCAUUUUCAAAAUUUCAAGUAGUUUGUGAACAUAUAAAUUCUUGAUUUCUUCCUGUUAUAUUUAUCUUCCUCUUUUUAUAUUUUAAUGAUCUGAUUAUUUUGUUAGGGUUUAAAUUGAUUUUCUUCUAAUUCCUCUUUUGCGACAAAUUUUAUUCUUCGUUUCAUUGUGUACAUUCCUAGUCUUUUGCGAUUAACUUCUUCGUUUCACUACUGUUUUCUUACAUUAAUGUUUAUGUAUGACAUGUAAUCUGACAGUGAGGUUUUACACGAUUCUGGAAAAGUUGGGACAACUUUGUCAGGCUCUCUUUGUGAUCUGCUGAUCAGAGGGCUAGGUUUGGAGAAUUAUGCUAAUCUUUCCUCUUUUUUCUUCGUUUUUUCAACAACUAUUUGCCACACUACCCCAUCAUUCUACUGUUUUCUGAUAUUUAGGUUUUUGACAUAUAAUCUGACAUUGAAAGUUUGCUCGAUUCUGGAAAAGUGCAACACUUUUGUGGGGUUUUCUUGUAGCCAUCAUCUAAACGACUUGAUACAAUGGACAAAAAUGGAGAACGGUUCUAGAUAGAUAAAUAAAAUUCCUUCAAUGAAUCGUUCUUAUUUAUUUUAAUUUCUGGGAUUCGAUUGCAAGUCAUAAAUUGAAUUGUGUAAAUGUUUUUCUGCAGUGUGAAAAAUUUGGGACAACUUUGUAACUGUGAUUUCAGAGAUGAGCGGCACGGUUUGAAGAAAUAUUUUUGUUGUUUUUUAUUCUUUUUCUACAACUAUUUGUUGCGGCGUAAUAUUUCUGCACAUGUAUCAUCUGUGGUAUUCGCAGGGUCUGUAGAAUGCAUGGGUUUGGUGUGCAACAGAGCUUGGUUUGUCAAAAUAAUAACUUUCUUCAUAGUAUGGAGCCUCGAGAUUUGGUUUGGCGAUCUUUAGUAAAAACAUUUGUUUCAAUCUUUCAUUAUUAAUUCUUAUAUCAUAUAUAUUUCUUGAUUUGGUACUUACUCUUGGGUUCUGCACGAGAAGAUGUGAUUUUAAUUUUUCGAUUCUAAAAUUUGCUUGUUCUUGUGUUCAAUUUUCUUUUGUUUCUUGAUUUCUUGAUCUGUUUGCCAGUUGUUUUUUUCCAUGAUUGCUUAUUUUCAGGGUUCCUGUAAUCGAGAAUAGGAGAUUGUUAGUGAUAUGUUUUUCUCAUAUUGUAGAUAUCGAGAAAUUCACCCAAUCACACUUCUCUUGACUCUUUUAAAUCGGUUAUCAAGAAUGAUUUGUCUAAAUUUUGUAUAUAAUUCUUCAUAAUUGGAUAAUUGAGAUGCACUUUUUAUCCAUUUUGCAGUGAGUUGAGAACUCUUGUAUUCGUAUGUGUUGUUCUUUCCGUUUAUUCAUUUUUUCCAUUGAGUUGUUCGUCAUUUUUAUUUCUUGGCCCGACAUAUAUGAAUUGAAGUUUGAACAAGUUUUCUAUGCAGUGUGAUUUGUCAAAUUAAUAAAAUUGUACAUAGCAUGGAGCCUAUCAUUUUUGAAUUGGUGAUAUCUAUUAAAUUCUUUUCUGUUUUAAAAUUUCUUCAUCUACUCUGAGAGUAUAUAUAUGUUGAUUUGUUAUUUACUCUUUAGUGUUUCAGGAGUAGUCAGUGAACAUAUGAUUUCUUCAGGUUCUAUAUCUUCCUCUUCUGUGAUUUUCAUGUGUUGCGUUCUUAUUCUUUUUUUUGUUGAUUAUUUUGUUCUCUUAAUCUAAAGUUUGAUUUGUUUAUUGUUGGUUCCAAGCAUUUAAUUUGUUGGCAAAAUACUGGAGUUCUCAUGUGAAUUUUCUGUUUUAAUGUGUUUCCAAUUGAGUAUCAGAUAAUGGUAAUGUUUUGCGAAAUUAUGAUUAUCACCCCAGGUUGAAUUGUGAAUUGAAACUGUCUGUUUUCUGCCGUGUAGUUUGGUUCGAAGCUAUACCUUGCUAUGUAGUAUCAAGCAAUCAGGUUCAUUUUGGCACAAUUCAUUUCAUGGUGAACUGAUCAAAGCAUAUAGACUCUGAAUCAUUUUCAUCUCAUUUAUUCUAUAUUUUAUUGUCCAGUCUUCUUAAUCCACUCUUUUUAUGAUAUUUAAUUACGAUUAGUUUUUUUUAUAUGCGUGGAGGGUUGGUGGUUAUAUUUGAUAAGUUCAUCCUUAGGUUUUGUUACCCCCAUCACACAACUGUUUUCUUACAUUGAAGUUUUUGACAUGUAAUCUGACAGUGCAAAUUUUUUAAUAAUUCUGGAAAAAUUGGAACAUCUUUGUGGGGCUCUCUCUUUGUAACUGUGAUCGGCUGAUCAGUGGCUUGGUUUGGAGAAUUAUGCUAAUCAUUUUCUUGGUUUUUUCUACAACUGUGUCACACUACCCCAUCAUACUACUGGUUUCUUUCAUUUUGGUUGAUGACAUGUAAUCUGACAGUGGAAGUUUACACAAUUCUGGUAAAGUUGGGACAGAAUUAUGGGGUUCUCUUUGUAACUAUGAUCGUUUUAUCAGUGGCUUGGUUUGGAGAAAUAUUUAUUGUUUUUCUUGAUAUUUCUACAAUUAUUUGUCGCGACGUAAUUUUUCUACACAUGUAUCAUCUGGUGUUCACAGGGUAUGUGUUACAUGAGAUUGGUGUGCAAAAGAAAUCUCCUUUCUCAAUAACAACACUGCACCUAGUUAAUUUUGGCCUAUGAAGUGGAGAAAUAGGAGAUAAGUGCCUCCUCCCUUUGAACUACUAAUCUUUUGUCGACCAAUUUACAUGUAUCAACCAGUUAUGUUUCUAGGCUUAAAGGAUAUCCUCUUCAUAACAGUGGCCUGAGGACUUCUCUUUAUUAGGAGGAAUCUGAAAUUGUCUGUUCAUAUGGAAACACAACGAUCUUGAAAUUGGAUGCAAAUUUGUUUUCAUGAAUCAUCAUCUCUAUAGUCUGUGUCGUAUACUCUCUACUGUUGCUAGGCUAUGAUUUGGUCAUCUCUACUGAGGCUCUUUACAUUUCAGGAGUUGUUUGAUAAUCGGUAUCUACUUUUGUGAAUUUUUUUUAGUCUGCUGUGUGGGUUUGACAUGGGAUAUUUGUGGCAGGCAGGGAGCUUAAGUAUGGUUAUUAUCAGAGAGAUGAAGAUUGGUUAUUAUAGGAGAAUGAGAAGAUUGGUUAUCAUUUAAGAAUGAAUUCAGAUAAUCCACAUUUUUUCAAUGAGUCAUUCUUUAUUUUUAAUUUUGUCCUUUGAGUACAUGACAUAUAAAUUGAACUUGAGCUUGCUUUUUUUUACCAAUGAAUAUGCUUUUUCUGCAGCUUGGUUUGUCAAAAUAAUAACUUCUGUCAACGCAUGGAGCCUCCAGUUUUGAUUUGCUGUUGUCUAGUAAAUUCUUUUUGUUUCAGUCUUAAUUGAUUUUGAUAGCAUAUAUUUCUUGAUUUGUGAUUUACUCUUUGGUGCUGCUUCUAUAAUCUAGAUUGCAAGGGAUUUACAUAGUAACAUGAUUUUCUCAGAUCUGUUGUCACACUUCGAAUGACUCAUGCAUUGUGGUUUUUCAAACUAAUAACCUUCUUUAUAGCAUGGAACCUAGCAUUUUGAUUCGGUGAUAUCUAUUAAAUUAUUUUCAUUUUCAAACUUUCAAGUUGUUUGUGAACUUACAAUUUCUUGAUUUUUUCUGGUUAUAUCUAUCUUCCUCUUUUUAUUACUUCAGUCUCUUGAUUCUAAUGUUUGAUUUGUUUAUUGUUGGGUUUGUUCUUAAAGUUGUUUUUAUUUUAAUGAUCUGAUUAUUGAGUUUCUUAGGGUUUUUGUAUCCAAGCAUACAGGUUUAUUUUGGCAAACUUCAUUUUCAUUUCAGUUAUUCUCUGUGUUUUAAUGUCCAAUCUUUUUUGUUUCCGUUCCAUGGUUGUUACAUGUGAGAGAUAUUGAUGUGCGACGAGGGUUGCUGGUUUUAUCUGAAUAGUUCAGCCCACUACUGUUUUCUUACAUUAAGGUUUAUGUAUGACAUGUAAUCUGACAGUGAGGUUUUACACGAUUCUGGAAAAGUUGGGACAACUUUGUGAGGCUCUCUCUGAUCUGCUGAUCAGAGGCUUGGUUUGGAGAAUUAUGCUAAUCUUUUCUCUUUUUUCUUCGUUUUUUCUACAACUAUUUGCACAACACUACCCUAUCAUUCUACUGUUUUGUGAUAUUUAGGUUUCUGACAUAUAAUCUAACAGUGGAAGUUUGCUCAAUUCUGGAGAAACUGCAACAGCUUUGUGGGGUUUGCUUGAUACAACGGACAAGAAUGGAGAACGGUUCCAGAUAGAUAAAUAAAAUUCCUUCAAUGAAUCGUUCUUAUUUAUUUUAAUUUCUGGGAUUCGAUUGCAAGUCAUAAAUUGAAUACAGGUUUAUUUUGGCAAACUUCAUUUUCAUUUCAGUUAUUCUCUGUGUUUUAAUGUCCAAUCUUUUUUGUUUCCGUUCCAUGGUUGUUACAUGUGAGAGAUAUUGAUGUGCGACGAGGGUUGCUGGUUUUAUCUGAAUAGUUCAGCCCACUACUGUUUUCUUACAUUAAGGUUUAUGUAUGACAUGUAAUCUGACAGUGAGGUUUUACACGAUUCUGGAAAAGUUGGGACAACUUUGUGAGGCUCUCUCUGAUCUGCUGAUCAGAGGCUUGGUUUGGAGAAUUAUGCUAAUCUUUUCUCUUUUUUCUUCGUUUUUUCUACAACUAUUUGCACAACACUACCCUAUCAUUCUACUGUUUUGUGAUAUUUAGGUUUCUGACAUAUAAUCUAACAGUGGAAGUUUGCUCAAUUCUGGAGAAACUGCAACAGCUUUGUGGGGUUUGCUUGAUACAACGGACAAGAAUGGAGAACGGUUCCAGAUAGAUAAAUAAAAUUCCUUCAAUGAAUCGUUCUUAUUUAUUUUAAUUUCUGGGAUUCGAUUGCAAGUCAUAAAUUGAAUUGUGUACAUGUUUUUCUGCAGUGUGAAAAAUUGGGACAACUUUGUGGGGUUCGCUUUGUAACUAUGAUUUCAGAGUUAACCAGCUUGGUUUGAGGAAAUCUUUUUGUUGUUUUUUGUUUUUUUUUCGUACAACUAUUUGUUGCGGCGUAAUUUUUCUGCACAUGUAUCAUCUGUGGUAUUCGCAGGGUCUGUGGUAUACAAGGGUUUGGUGUGCAACAGAGGUCUCCUUUCUCAAUCACACUGCACCUUGUUGAUUUUUCCGUCUGAAGUGGAGAAGUAGGAGAUGAGUGCCUCUUAUUUUCCCUCUUCUGUCAAGCAAUUUAAAUGCUUCUCGGUCCUUCCUACAGGCUUGGGCUUGGUUUAGUGCACACUUUCUCAUUCAUCCUUGCGGAACUUGAGUACUACUCUCGCUUAUCUCUUCGCCCUUCCCAAGAUGAGUGAUUAUGAUCAAUUUGAUUACGUUUUACGUGCUGUUUGUUCUGGUGAUUUGUUUCUGUUGGGGGCGACAUUACUUUGUUCGGGGAGGUUUACACUAUAAUUAUCUUUUACUGUAUUGUUGUCUUGACUCUUGAUUAUUUUUCAUUCACGAUGAUACUUCUUAAAAGAUAUACUCUUCGUUACAGUGGCCCAGGGACUUCUCUGUAUUAGGAGGAAACUGAAAUUGUCUCUUCAUAUGGGUACACAACGAUCUUGCAAAUUUGAUGAAAUUUGUUUCGAUGAAUGAUCAUCUUCUACAGGCUGUCUUAUACUCCCUAGCAUCGCAAGGCUAUAAUUUGGUCAUUUCUAUUGAGAAUCUGUUACAUUCAGUCUUUGUUGAAUAAUAAUAAUCAGAAUCUACUUUUGUCAGCUCUUUUAAGUUUUUUGUGUGCCUGUUACAGGGGAGAUGGCCUAUAAAUGUGUGGCAGGUAUAGAGGUUCACUUACUUUUUGUUCAGCAUUGGAAUAAAAUUGGUCAUCCCUCUUACUUUCCGUUCAUCCCUGGGAUAAAACUGGUCAUGCCUCUUAACGUUCCCGUUCAGCCUUGAAUAAAUAAAACUGGUCAUUUUAUACUUACAUGUGUUUUACGUUGGGAUUUGGCAUAGUAGUCCUAUGAAAGUGUCCCCUGCUAGUUUAGCAAUUUUCGCAUCAGGAAUGUGAGUAUGAAGCAUACGAGAUUCUGAGCCUUUUGAAUUUAACGGUGAGCUGAAGUUUAGACAUCUAGAACGUUGGGAUGCUUUAUAGAAUGGAUAAGAAAGGAGGGUCAAGUUAAAUCCAAUUACUUCAACAUGUUGUUCUUUUCAGUUGGAGGGUCAAGAUAAAUCCAAUUAUUUCAACAAGAUGUUCUUUUCAGUUUUGGGCUUUGUGAUUAAAACAUAUACAAAUUGAAUUGCGAAUCUUUUUCUUUUCAGUAUAUUGAUUCUAAGUUCACAUAUUUUUUUUGAGUAGUUAUUUUCCUCUUUGGUGUUGCAGGAGAGGUAAUCUAACAUGCAAUCCCUUAUGGUUCUGUCUUCCUCUUGUUUGGUCUUAAAGUUUUGUAUUCUCACUUUUGUAUCUUGUUGUUGAGGUUUGAUUUGGUUCUUGCUGGUUUGAUCUUGGAGGUUGCUGUUCUUAUUUUAAUGACCUACUGCUAUUAAUGAAUUAUUUGGGUUUUAGUUAAUUGUUAAUCUCAUUUGGUUAUUUGCGUAGUUUUGGUAGAGUUAUGCUGGUAAAAAUAAAGGAAUAUUGAGUUAUGUAUUUAUCCAUUUUGCAGAAAGUUUAUUUCUGGAUAUCCGCAGCAAUUUGCAAUUCCAUAUAAUACAGAUAAUGGCUAUAGAUAGAUAAUUCAAAUUUCUUCAAUGAGUUGUUAUUAAUUUUAUUUUUGGGAUUUCAUUGCAAGACAUAAGGAUUGAAUUGUGAACAUUUUUAUUUUCCUCAGGUGUUGUAGGUUGGAAACACGUGAUUUCUCCUGGUUUUAUCUUUCUCUUGUUUGAUCUUCAUGUUUAGUAUUCUGAUUUAUUUGGUUAUGGCUUUUAUUGGCAUUCACAAAAAUAUUUAUUAUGAUGCUGUUUUCUUGCAGUGUAGUGUUUUUCAAACAAAUAACAUUCUGUUUAGUAACAAGGCUCGAGUUUAUUUUGGUACUUUUUAAUUGGAUUGUGGAUGAUUAUGUUUGUUUCAUUUCUUUUCUUCCAAUUUUUAUCCUCUGUUAUGCGACUUGGUUUGAAGAAUUAAGCUAUUAUUCUUUCUUUCUUUUCAGUUCUUUUUCCUACAACCCAUAUGUCACAGCGUAAUUUUCUGUACAUUUUCAUCUGGUGUUUGCAGGGUAAGUGUUACAUGGUUUGGUGUACCACAAUUGUUUCCUUCUGUCUCAAUCAGAGUGCUCCUUUUCAAUUUUCCGUCUAAAGGGGAGAAAUUGAAGAUGAGUGUAUUUGCUGCUUUGCACUAAUCUUUUGUGAAUGAGAACACAUGGACCAUAAUGUUUGCUGUCUGUGUCAUAUAUUUUCUAGGCUUUAAUUUGGUGGUCUCUACUCAGAUUAUGAAUUCUUUACAUUUUCAGUAUAGUCGUUUCAGCAUCCAUAUUGAGUAAUGGCCCAAGGAGUCCUCUGGUAUUAGGUGGAAGCUUAAAUUGUCGAUUCAUAUUGAGUAAUGGAUCUUGCAAGUUGGAUGUUUCUGCAGUCUGUGUUGUAUGCUUUAAUUUGGUAUCUCUGCUAAGAAUGACUUUACAUUUAGUCGUUGUUUGACACUUGGCAACUUUUCUCAGUUCUUUUUGAAUUUUGUGUGGGUGUUACAGGCGAGAUAGAAUAUGUGGCCUGUGGAUAGCCAGAGGUACCAUACUUUCCAUUCAGCCUUGGGAUAAGUGAUAUUCCUUUGAUUGUUGUCCUGCUAGUGGAGUUUAUGUGUUUCUGUAUGAGGAGCAUACGAAUAUUCUCAUUGUUGUUAUGCUUUCAUUUGGUAAAUUGGGACUGUGAUUUGUUGUUGCGAGAUUAUCAAGUUCUGCUCGGUUAUUAAAGCAGAGAUAGCCAAUGAAAUGUGGGAUGCAUAUUAUCAAGGACAUGCUUUGAGCCUUGGGAUAAAAUGUUGUCCUCGUGUGUGAUGUGAGGAGUUGAAUAUGAUUCUAGAGUACUUCAAGAAUAAAUCGCACAUCAAUAAAUUCCUCGAAUCAGUGAGGAGCAUGACUUUUGAAGGUUUGAUGUUGUUUGCCUUUGUUUCUUUAUUGUUGAGUUCUGCUUGUUAGUCUGGACCUAGAGCACCGUGAGCCUUGUUUUCGAGUAGUUAUUAUCUGGUGGUUUGACCUUCCUGUAUCUGUUGUAAUCUGUGUUAAGGGGGAUUUUCUAUACUCUUCUUUUAUUUGGUAAGAGUGAAUCUCUUCUCCUAAGUGGAUAUUUCUUUGUUAUUGCAGCACAAGAACCCAUCAUAAUUAUACUUCUUUUAAGAACCUGCCUGACUUCAAGAACCACCAAGAUUCUAGCAUGUAUGGGGACUCCUAUAUUUUUCCCUUUGUGCACAGUAUUGGGUGUGGUUGAGAGUCUUAUCAGAUUGAUUAUACUUCACUAUUUAACAAUAGAGUGGUGGACUCCUAGCUUGUGAAUCUAUAUUGGGUUGUGAAGUGGUGGCCGAGGUUACUACAAACGUACUGAUCAUUUUUCAAUUUAUAUGUACUUUUUUCAGUUAUCUUUUGAUUGGUCGUUCCAGUGAUAACUAGUGUUAAACAAAAUUCUGUGGAAAUCUCUUAUUGUAGGAUGAGUUUUGGGGGCAGCUUGGUUGAAGGAUUUUGUUUCAAUGAAUAUUCUGUGUAAAUAAGUAUCCUCUAUCUCACAGUUGGCACAAGAAACUCGAUAUGGCAUUAGGAGGACAGUUAAAUUUUGUCUCAUUGAGGUGCAAUUUAAUGGUAAUUUGUCCUAAACCUAAAUGUUAUUUAGGUUGUGUCAUAUAUUUCCACUACUUUUGGGCUUGAUUUGGAGAUCUCUACUAUUAUGAAUACCUCAACUUUGGUCAGCCAUUCUGAAAUCUGAACAAUGCAUUUAUCUGUUUUAUUCAGCGUAGGUAAGUGAAGGUUGGAUCAUGAUCUGAUUUCCCAGAAAAUUGAGUCUAGUCUUCUCAAUUUCUGUGAUUAUGCUAGUUGAGAAGUUGCUGCUAUAAAUUAGAAUUUGACCUCUACCAUUGCAAUUCAUGUGCCAAAUAGAACCUUAUAUAUGUUUAAAAAAUGAAGCAGCUAUGUAUUAGUUUGAAAAUACUAGAACACAUGAACCUGAUGUUGUUAGUUGUGUGAAGGAUUUUGGAGGUUUAGUCCCAUAGUCUUGUAAUCAGAGACACUUUGGGGGUAAUUAGAAUGGCUAGAAGAAAUUCAGGUUUCACCUCUUUAUGACAUUUUAGCUUUUCAUAAUAGUGUUGCAAUGUUAGUUUUUAUGACACAGAAAAAACAAAUUGAUUAGGAGUACUUAAUGCAUUGGUUGAUGACAAACAUAGAAUGCAAUCAUAGUAGA